UCCCUGGUGGCUUAGCUGGUAAAGAAUCCAUCUGCAAUGUGGGAGCCCUGGGUUCAAUCCCUGGGCUGGGAA
rnacentral:tRNA from 1 species